AGAGUUUGAUCCUGGCUCAGGAUGAACGCUGGCGGCGUGCCUAAUACAUGCAAGUCGAGCGAGGGAAGUUAGAUUGAGACUUCGGUUGAUAUCUUAUGGAACUAGCGGCGAACGGGUGAGUAAGACAUAGGCAACCUGCCCCAAGGACUGGGAUAACUGAGGGAAACCUUAGCUAAUACCGGAUAGGUAAAUGGAAGGCAUCUUCUAUUUAUUAAAGUUGGGUUUCCAACACCAUGGGAUGGGCUUAUGCUGUAUUAGCUUGUUGGUGGGGUAACGGCCCACCAAGGCGAUGAUACAUAGCUGGUCUGAGAGGAUGAACAGCCACAUUGGGACUGAGACACGGCCCAGACUCCUACGGGAGGCAGCAGUAAGGAAUUUUCGGCAAUGGGGGAAACCCUGACCGAGCAACGCCGCGUGAGUGUAGAAGGUCUUCGGAUUGUAAAGCUCUGUUGUAGAGGAAGAAUGCUAAGUAUAGGAAAUGAUAUUUAGUUGACGGUACUCUACUAGAAAGUCACGGCUUACUACGUGCCAGCAGCCGCGGUAAUACGUAGGUGGCAAGCGUUAUCCGGAUUUAUUGGGCGUAAAGGGUGCGCAGGCGGUUUGUUAAGUUUGAUGUGAAAGCGUUGGGCUCAACCCAAUACAGCAUCGAAUACUGGCAAGCUAGAGUGCAGAAGGGGGUAAUGGAACUCCAUGUGUAGCGGUAAAAUGCGUAGAUAUAUGGAAGAACACCAGAGGCGAAGGCGAUUACCUGGUCUGUAACUGACGCUCAUGCACGAAAGCGUGGGGAGCAAAUAGGAUUAGAUACCCUAGUAGUCCACGCCCUAAACGAUGAGUACUAAAAUGUUGGAUUUAUUCAGUAUUGCAGCUAACGCAAUAAGUACUCCGCUUGAGGAGUAUGCACGCAAGUGUAAAACUUAAAGGAAUUGACGGGACCCCGCACAAGCGGUGGAGUAUGUGGUUCAAUUCGACGCAACGCGAAGAACCUUACCAGGCCUUGACAUCCCUCGCAAUAUCAUAGAGAUAUGAUGGAGGUUAUCGAGGUGACAGGUGGUGCAUGGUCGUCGUCAGCUCGUGUCGUGAGAUGUUGGGUUAAGUCCCGCAACGAGCGCAACCCUUGUCUUUAGUUACCAUCAUUUAGUUGGGGACUCUAGAGAGACUGCCGAUGAUAAAUCGGAGGAAGGUGGGGAUGACGUCAAAUCAUCAUGCGCUUUAUGGCCUGGGCUACACACGUACUACAAUGGCAUAUACAACAAGACGCAAUACAGCAAUGUGGAGCAAAUCUGUAAAAUAUGUCUCAGUUCGGAUUGGAGUCUGCAACCCGACUCCAUGAAGUUGGAAUCGCUAGUAAUCGCGGAUCAGCAUGCCGCGGUGAAUACGUUCUCGGGGUUUGCACACACCGCCCGUCA
rnacentral:rRNA from 1 species